GCAGAUAUAGUUCAGUGGUAGAGCACAUGCUUAGCAAGCACAAGAUCCUGGGUUCAAUCCCCAGUACCUCA
rnacentral:tRNA from 1 species